rnacentral:lncRNA from 1 species
ACUAGGCCCGGGCACAGGACUGGCUUCGCACCACUGGCCCCGCAGUCGGGUCCCCGGGGACGCGCCACGGGUCACUGCUGCCUGCUAAAGCGACACAAGGCGCCUUCAUUCCUCAGGCCGAGGCGGCCGAACGCCUUGGCUCUGGCCGACAGUGAGCAACCACUGCGAGUCCGCACACACUGCAGCGCCCCCGGGCACGCCCCGCAGUCCGCCCAGCGUCCCCCGGGGCGGGGCACAGCGAGAGGACGGCCCGAGAGCCCUGCUGUCCCCGUCGGCGCCGCAGGAGGGCGCGCCUUCCCCGCUGGGCCGAGGCCUUUGCCGGGCCCUCUACUGUACGCCGGCCCUAGGGCUGGGACCGCCGUGCUGGACCGACCUCAGCCCACUGUUCUGCGGAGGCCGCGUGUUGGGCGACAGCAGCCACCCAGCCCGGAAGCAGCCGUUCCGAGCGCAGGGGCGCCAAGAGCCCUGCGCCCCGCCUGUGCGCCGGCCCUGAGACUUGGAACGCCUGGUUCCACAUGUUCAAAAGGCCGUGGCAUGGGGGAGUGGGCCUACACCUGAGCUUUGGCUGCGAACACACUCAUUUCAAGGAUAGCUGCUAGGCGCUGCCUUCCCCCAUCCGCCUGCUGUUGGCCCCCGUCCAAGCAUCUCCAGCCUCUGCCAGGCCCUGCCCCUUUCCCCGCCGUCUAUGGCCCUGAAGUGGGAGCCGGCUCAGGGCUGCAGGCUGCCUGCUCAGCGCCUGCACUCGCAGGCCCAUCCCUGCCGUGAGCAAACAGACCAGUAGCAUCCCUGAGACAGAGAUGGACAGCACUCCUGGAUAGGAGGGCGGGCUAUGGACAUCCGUUGCUGGAAAAGCUGGGAAGAGGGCUGGCAGUGGAGACGCUUCAGGUGCACCGUGUGGACAGACAAGGUUGCAAGUGAUGCUGGUCCUCAAGGUAUCAGGUGUGAGUCAUCCCAAAAGGACCCUGCCUAAGAGGGUGGCCUGUCAAGAGGAGCCUUCUGGGGGCACAGCAGGGCCAGGAGUUGAGACAUACGAGGUUGCCCAGAAAGUGUGGGAUGCAGCUUAGGCAAAGUGCAGAGGGUGAGCCCCAUACCUCCCAAAAGAAGACCACAGAUGCCCUAGCCUCUCUCCCCCACGCCCUGUCAGGGCCACCAUGAGGGAUGACCCUCUGUAGCCACAGGGUUGAAACUGCUGAAAAUCAAACACAAGUCCUCACCAUGUGACUGGCUGAAUUACAACAAAAGCUGAACUCCCAGCCUCCCAGGAUGUCUACUAUUAAAGUGAGGGUAUUGAUUGGGAGAGGAUGACAACCUGUAAAUUGGGAUGGGGGUGUAUGGGAAUAUCCUGAUGAAACUGGGAGACAUUGAGCUCCUAAAUUCUGAUGAAUUCUCUUUGCCCAUGGGAGGUGUCUUCCCAUCCACAGCAAAACUAGCCUCCCCAUCCCCAGGGGAAGCAGCCUUCACACCCUUCGUGGUGUUGGCCUUGGCCUGAGGAGAUUAACCCUGCAUUGCUGGAGGAAAUGAUAAAGACCUCCCCUGAGGCAGUUGUCAUGCAAGACAAUGCUGAGUUUCCUUAGGACCCACCCGUCUUUACUAGACCUAUAACUAGACUCAAGGCCCAGCAGGCCCCCAAAGGUGAGGACAUAGCAGGACCCAGGAGGAGGUGUGCCACACUCCAAAAGAACUACUUGAGUUUUCUAAUUCAUACAGGCAGAAAUCCAGUAAAUGUGUGGAAAUGGAUCUUAAGGAUCCAUUAAACAUGCAGGAUAAUGGUGGAAAGAACAUAAAGUCGGAUCAGGCCAAAUGUAUUGAUGUGGGCCCACUAAGCAGAGAUUCUGCACUGAAUGCUGCAGCCCUGGGCGUGUAAAAAAGACCUAAUAGUUUAGUUGGCUAGGGGAAACAGAUUAAAAGGUGGCCUACAAUGAGCAAGUUGGAGGUGCCAGAUAUCCCUUGUUUUAAUGUAGAGGAAGGGAAUUGAAGAGAUUGGAAUUAGAGUAGAUUUGCCAUUUUAGACAUACUUACCCACACUAGUCCAGACACACCUUUCACCAAUAUUGUAAGAAAUGGGUUUGUGAGGGGAGCCCCAGCAUCCUUCAAGAGCUGUUUCAUUGCUUUUCUCUCUGGCCAGACCUUACAGUGGGAACCACAGUCACUCAAUUGGAAAAUUAAAUGCAAUGACAGCAACUGAUCUCAGGGUGGGAGGAGCCAAGAGGGGAACUCAACCACCUAAGACAAGGUGGGUGUGACUACCAUAAUGGACAGAAGAGACAAAGUAACAAUCAGAAUAGUCUGACUUGUGUGAAUAUGUGAUGUUGGAUAGCUAAUUAUGGUGUUCCUAGAAGUGAAAUAGAUAGGAAGCUUGUACUGAAGUCAACAUUAAAAGGUAGAGACAAAUCUCUAAAUAUAACAUUUUAUUUGGGAUAUAAGAAUUGCAAUUUGGGUCAUACACACAGACCAGGUGUUUUUCAGUAUGUCCAAAGAAUAAAGAGCAGGUUGGGGAUUUUAUAGAAUAGA